rnacentral:rRNA from 1 species
CCAAUAGCGUAUAUUAAAGUUGUUGCAGUUAAAAAGCUCGUAGUUGAAUUUCGGGAUCAAUUUAUCGGUCGUGCCAAUGGUAUGAACUGGUACAAUUGGUUUCUCCCUUCUGACGAAGCAUGAUGUCAUUAAUUUGGUGUCGUGGGGAAUCAGGACUGUUACUUUGAAAAAAUUAGAGUGUUUAAAGCAAGCAUUAGCUUGAAUACAUUAGCAUGGAAUAAUGAAAUAGGACGUUUGAUCCUAUUUCGUUGGUUUCUAGGAUCGACGUAAUGAUUAAUAGGGAUAGUUGGGGGCAUUAGUGUUCAAUUGUCAGAGGUGAAAUUCUUGGAUUUAUUGAAGACUAACUACUGCGAAAGCAUUUGCCAAGGAUGUUUUCAUUAAUCAAGAACGAAAGUUAGGGGAUCGAAGACGAUCAGAUACCGUCGUAGUCUUAACCAUAAACUAUGCCGACUAGUAGGGAUCGGAUGAUGUUAAUUUUUUAAUGACUCAUUUGGCGCCUUACG